ACCCGCUGAACUUAAGCAUAUCAAUAAGCGGAGGAAAAGAAACCAACAGGGAUUGCCUUAGUAACGGCGAGUGAAGCGGCAAAAGCUCAAAUUUGAAAUCGGCCCCCAGGUCGAGUUGUAAUUUGUAGAUUGUAUCUUGAGAGCGGAUUAAAGUCUGUUGGAACACAGCGCCUUAGAGGGUGACAGCCCCGUAAAAUCUAUUCUCAUUGUAAGAUACUUUCGAAGAGUCGAGUUGUUUGGGAAUGCAGCUCUAAGUGGGAGGUAAAUUCCUUCUAAAGCUAAAUAUUGACGAGAGACCGAUAGCGAACAAGUACUGUGAAGGAAAGAUGAAAAGCACUUUGAAAAGAGAGUGAAAAAGUACGUGAAAUUGUUAAAAGGGAAGGGUAUUGAAUCAGACUUGGUGCUGUUGUUCAACUGCGUUUUGGCACAGUGUACUCAGCAGUACUAGGCCAAGGUGGGGUGUUUGGGAGUGAAAAAGAAGUGGGAACGUAACUCUUCGGAGUGUUAUAGCCUACUUUCAUAGCUCCUCAGGCGCCUCAGGACUGCGCUUCGGCAAGGACCUUGGCAUAAUGAUUCUAUACCGCCCGUCUUGAAACACGGACCAAGGAG
rnacentral:rRNA from 1 species